AUGGCACCCCGGAUAAGGCUCAGUGUUGCAAAACCUCUCCCAACCAUAUGUGAAACCCAUGAGGAAGCAAUGGAAGAUUUAACCAGCAACCCGAAACACACUGGAAGCACUUCAACCAACCAAGAUUCAUAUUCCAGUGAUGAUUACAUUCAAUCUAUCUGCCACCUUGCCAGACCCACCUUCCCGGGCCUUCCUGUAAGCAGCCAUAAAGUUCAGAACAGAAAGAUUCUGCAGAGCCUUGAAGCCACGUCAUGGUCCCCAUCCCUGCCAGAAACGUCAGCGUGUAAAUUGACCAGUUUCAUCUCAAAUGUGGUGCCACUGGGAAAAGUCACACCUGCUCCUGAUGAUGCAGAAACCGACUUCUGGUCCAGAGAGGACCCCCUGGCACAGAUCUACACGGGUGCGGGAAAGCUCUGUUCCUCCAAGGGUUCUUGGAGUAAAAGCUCCAGCACUGGCUACUCACAGUGCAACUCUUCCAGCUGCACGGACACCCCACAUGGUGACCUUCAUCCCCCAGCCAUGAAAGGAGAACCUGAAGGGAACCCAAACUUCCCACGGGUGUUCAGUUUUCCAAGGCUUCCCUCUCCAAGGCCGGUGCAGAAAGAAACGCUGUGCUCAGAGAUGAGGUAUCUCAGAAGGGAUGAGGGAGUGGUUUUAAGCAGUAAUCACAGUCAGAAAGAAGGUGGUACCGUGUUCAUUAACAGUGAAAAGCUAUUGCCAUGCUCAGCCAGAGGGAAGCUGCUAGGAAACCGAGUUUUGCGGUGCUCUGUAAGGAAGCAGAGUAGUUCGUUCAAUACAGCAGGUGCUGAUGAAAAAGAAGAGAGAGAAAUUUCUUCCAGUGACAAAAAUGCAAUGGGUGAUGUCCCCAGUAAACAGAGAUACUCCGAGUGCUUCCAGGCAGCUAAAAAAGCCGUGAUCCAUAACUGGAUUUCAGAGCACAGAUGCAUCUGGAAAGAAGCAAAGAUAAAGGCUUGUUUGCUUCCAGCCAUUGCUGAAGUGUGA
rnacentral:lncRNA from 1 species